rnacentral:lncRNA from 1 species
UGCCUGGUGUUUUGCAUCUUGUUGCAUCAUGUUUAAAUUCUAUUUAAGUUGAAAUAGGGAUUGACCAAACCCUAGCAUCAGAAAGAAUUCAACUAGGUUCAAAUAAAAUAUCUUCAAUCAACCCAAAAUGCCUUCCCAAAAAUGUUCAUCAUCUUUGGAUUGGUCUAGAACCUCUGCCAAAAAUGGUGCACAUUUUUCUAGGACACUUUGGAUUUUUGAAUUAAUCCAUAAGUAUUUGAAUCUGGACAUUUAAAUCUUAUAAAUAUUUUUAAUUGUCCAAAUAAUCCUGAAAGUACUUGAGGGCUGUUGGGAAAUAUUUCAAAGGUGCCUAAAAUUAUUUUCAGGAUUUUAUCAAAUGGGUUAGUAUUAUUACUAAAUCAAAAUAGAGCAAAAUAAAUAGAAAAUAGAAAUAAAAAUAAAAAGAGAGAGAGAGGGACUUACCUGGCAGAAGCUUACCUAGCGCCCACCAAUAGGCCCAGUACUGUAGCUGGCGGCCCAGCCCACCACCGCUGCCCCCUGUCGUCUUCCUCCUUGGAAAGAAGGACAGGGGCGCGUGCUCGCCGCCUGCUGGCCACGCGCAGGCCACCUCCUGCCUGCUUACCGCCUCCCGGACGUUGCUAUGGACGCCACGCACCCCCCUGACCCCUCGCUCACUCUCUUCCAUCCUCAUCCCCGCCUCUGCCGCCUCUCUCUUCGAAACCGAACGUCACCGUCGCCGCCGUUGGCUGGCCACACGCUCCCCGCCGUCCCCUCGACCGCCCGACAUGUUGGAGAGCUCCGCCAUGUUGUAAUCUUCGUCCUCGACGAGCCACGCAAGCCGGGAGAGCCUGGAACAUCGCCACCGCCAUCGUCUUCAUCAUCAGCCGCCUGAGAUCGCCGCCGUCGUUUCGUCAUCACCAAGCCGUCCCCGAGCCCACUGAGACUGCCGUCGAUGCCACCGUGAGCUCCUCUUCGAUUCCUCUCUCUCCCCGCGUGAUUUUGCUCGCUGUAGCCACGCCAAUCGCCGGAGCCGUGAGCUUUCGGCCACCGUCCAUGUCGCCGCCGCAGCCACGGUCGCUGGUGCUCGCAUUCGAGCGUGUCACCGAACUCACCAUGCUCCUAGGAGACGAUAGCGCCCACCAACUCGCCCUCUUGUGCACCGUAGCACCACUUCGCAUUUGUGCCCGAGCACCACCGCCGCCCAGCUCGUCGCCGGCGUCGAUUCCGGUGACCCCGUGACCUGCUGCUACCUCCGCUAGAAGCGCGGGAGCAAGGGCUAUCGCCCGGUGCCCUCGGCACGUCCAACCGACGCCCAUAGCGCGAUUCCGGUGAGCCACCGCCGCACUGUGAGGUCGUCGGAGUUCAACUCCGGUGGCUGGUGACGUGGCACAUCAUUAGCCGCUGAUGAUCCCGCUAAUUAACCCCCUCACUCACUGACAGGUGGGCCCCAGCCUGCUAACUAACCUAGCGUAGCACUUAAACUAAUCUGAGUUAGUUAAUUAACUAACUGUGUGACUGACCAAUGGGCCCCACAUGUCAAGUUUGACCUCGACCGAGCCGUUGACCUGCUGACGUCACUGUGAGGUCAUGCUGACGUAGUAAAUCACUUUCUGGAUUUAAGUUUAUUCAGAAAAUUCCAGAAAAUGCCCAAAACUUCUAAAAAGCAUAGAAAAUCAACCGUAACUCCAAAUGAAAUAAAUUAUAUAUGAAAAAUUAUAAGAAAAAUUCAAGGAAUCUGAAUAUGGCAUUUUCAUGCAUGUUUGAACAACUUAACCUCACUGUUUAGUCUAAAGCAUGAUAAUGCACUAUUUGAAUUCAUAGUUUGAAUUUGAAUUUGAACCUUGAGUUCAAAUCAACCCAAACCUUUCUGCUACUAGUUGCAUUAGCUCAAAUCCCAUCCUAUUGCCAUGUCAUGAUCAUGCAUCAUAUUGUUGCAUUACAUUGAUUGUGUUCCCUCUUGUUUGCCGGUGGUUGUUCCCCCUCGGUAGGUGUAUGUUUCGGCGAUGAGUUCGAUGACACCGAUGAAGAGCUUUACUAUCUUCAGAAGUGCCAGGCAAGCACAACCCCCUUGUUCACUUUGAUAAAAGCCCACUCUCUCGCUCCUGCUCUCUUUUACUGCAUUAGGACAACAACGAUCAUCUGUUACUUGUUGCGGUAGUUGAACCCCUUGUCCUCCGCAUGACCUGUCAUUGCCAUAGUAAAUAGAUGAAACCCACUAGCAUGAGUAGGAGUUGUUUGAGCCCUGAUGUGCCUACUCAUUCAUGCUUGUUUGUCAUGCCUGCUACUACUUAGAGUUGAGUCAGGUCUGAUUCAUCGGGGGUGAAUUGGAACGGUGAUGAACAUGUCCUACUGUGUGUGAGCUAAGUGUGUGAACACGUUUUGGUAAAGGUAGCGGUGAGAGGCCAUGUAGGAGUACAUGGUGGGUUGUCUCAUUGAAACCGUCCUCAAGAACUGAGUUAUGUGUCUGUGAUCCAUGACCAGCUACUACCACUCAUUGAGAUCCUUAAUUGACCCUCUCGGCUUCUUAAUCACCCUAGUACUCUGUUCAGGAGUUGCAACUAGUUUCUGGUGUUUGUAGGUUAUGUGUUGGCGGCCGUGCGUAGCGCUGAACCUAGGGGUGGGCUAUGUUGCGGUAGAUACACCGUGGCACGGUGUACCGGGCGCCCGUUUGGUGUCUCGGGAACCCUGUUCACAUCGUUUGGGGCCGUAUGUGGAAACCUCGGCCGGACUCCCAGCGGAUGGAACCUGGAUAGGCGAUAAACCUGGACUAGAGACUUAAGUGUUUAGGUAGGCCGUGGCCGACACCCUCGCCAGGCUUCCGCUUGAAGGUUGCCGAGAUACAUGACGUGUAUAUGGUGGUAAGUGGUGGGAGCAUGUGUGAAGAAGUACACCCCUGCAGGGUUAUCAUUAUCUACUCGAAUAGCCGGAUUCCUCGGAUAUGGAACUUGGACCCCUUGCAUAGUUCAUAGACAAGUGAAAGUGGAUACUCUAAAACUCGCAAGAUAAGUGUGAGUGCUAUGGAUGGCCUUCUCGUAGGGAGAUGGGAGCGGUUCCAUAGUGGUGUAUUGAAUGGUGAAUAUGUGGACUCGUGUGCGCCACCUCAAAAGAGUUGCUUGCAGUCAUAGUUUAGGUUAGCCACUGAGUCAAAGUUGGCUUGCUGCAGUUAAACUUCACUAUCCCCUUGGUUGAUACCGAUGCAUAUGUAGUUAGUUCUGAUGUAAGUCUUGUUGGGUACAUUUGUACUCACGUUUGCCUAUUUUAUGUUUUUGCAGAGAGAUGUCAGUCUCCCUAGUAGUUCCGUGUGGACUUCGAUGUUUAGCUUGUUACCUCAGCUACGAUCUUGUGCCCUCGACAGGAUCUGGUAGAUAGUCAGGCUUCUCAGCCUUUUUCAUAUGUAGAUGUCUGUACUCAGACAUAUUAAGCUUCCGCAUGUGCUUUGACUUGUAUGCUCUGAAUGUUGGGUCAUGAGACCCAUGUUUGUAAUAUCUCGCUCCUCGGAGCCUAAUGAAUAAAUACUUGAGUCGUAGAGUGUUGUUGUGAUGCCAUGUUGUAUUUACACAUAUCGAGCAUAUUGUGUGUAUGAUUGAAAUGCUUGGUAUGUGUGGGAUCCGAAAAUCUAGUUGUUUAUCCUUGGCAGUCUCUCUUAUGGGGAAAUGUAGUCUUGUGCUUCCAUGAGCCAUAGUAGUCCGCUACAUCCCGGUUCACCGGAGUCCCGCUAGCCCAGCACUACUGCUCAGGACACUUAACUGGCCGGCAUGUGUUUCACUUCAUUCAUGUGUCUGUCCCUUCGGGGAAAUGUCACGCGGUGACAUCCGGAGUCCUGCCUAGCCUGCUACAGCCCGGGUUCUCGGAGUCCAGUUAGCCCAGUGCUACAGCCCGGAUUCACACGCUGCUGACCGACAUACUCGAUGUGAUUCAUGUAUGCCUGUCCCCAUAGGUUAGUGCCGCUUUGGGUUCACGACUAGCCAUGUCGGCCCGGGUUCUCUGUCAUAUGGAUGCUAGCGACACUAUCAUAUACGUGAGCCAAAAGGCGCAAACGGUCUCGGGCCAUGGUAAGGCGACACCCGUGGGAAUACCGUGCGUGAGGCCACAAAGUGAUAUGAGGUGUUACUGGCUAGAUCGAUGUGACUUGGAAUCGGGGUCCUAACAACAUUGGUAUCAGAGCCUGAUUGCCUGUAGGAUUACCAAGCCAAACUGGUCGAAGUCGAGUCUAGAAAUGUUUUAGCUAUGUAAGGGAAUUGAUUGUGGAAGGGAACGUAAGGCUCUUUUUACUCCUUAUCCUCAUGACCUUCUGAUCUGUGUCAUCUUAUCUUUUCUACGGGGUUAAGAACUAGGUUUCUCUUCUAUCUCUCAGGAUGACGUGUUACUAAACCGUAGUUGCCUAGGAUUGUUGAGUUCAAGCCUCAGUUCAGUUCCUACUACUUCCAUAUGGUCACAGUUGAUCCCAGAACCUUGAUAUGAUGAUGUUGAGUGGUCAUGCCACUAUUUUGCAGGAUGUCUCAAAUAUUUUGAGCAUUCACAGCCGUUAUGCUGUCCGAGUCAUCCCAGGUUUCUAAAUAGUCUGAUGCAUUUGCAAAUCCCUUCCUCCUGUUCCCGAUGUCCCUUUGGGCCAGUUCAACCACACUAAUCGAUGAGUUGAGGUACUCUAUUGCCUCAACAUAUAUGUUGGAGCUAUUUUUAUGGCCUACGUGUUUUAGGGAGUCACCUAGCGAUCUAGCCAUGUUUUUAUCCCCAAUGUGUGAUUCUGGCCAUUAUUCUCGAAAGCAUCCCGUGAUGCCAUGUAUUAGUAUGUACCUCUAUUCAUGGGUUCUUGAACCCGAGAUUCACCCUACUUACCUCAUGUUGAUAGUGUUGCUAGUUCCUUUAGGAUAUUAGUAACCUUUGCGAUAGUCCUCGAGGUUCGUGGUACAUCCUUCUUCCAAUUAUCAUGAACCAUUCUUGGCAGGAGUUCGUUUGAACCAAAAGGUCACGACAGAGUGCUCCUGAUGAGUUCUCGAUUCUAUGUUGUGACUCUGCCAACCCUACCUUUCUGCAUGGGUUAUCCGGAAGAAAUAUGUUGAACUCAUUCGACAUACUAAUCUAUGCAUCCACAACUCAGAAAGUUAUAUGUACCCUUGAGUUGUCCCCCUUCCGUUAUAUUCCGAUCUCCGUCUAUCAAUUGAUAGUGAGGAGUAUGUAUGCAUUCGUGUUCAUCGAUGCCUAGUAUUCUUGUGGUUCGUCAAGCCGUUCUAUUUCAGAAUGCCUAGGAGAAACAAACUCCAGUACCUCAUCCAUAUCCAGGAUUGGGUCAAAGUAGUUGUGUUCUGCAGAUCAAAUGCCAAUCCAGCUUUUGCUCUGUUCUACCCUGGAGUAUUACCCCCUUCAUGUCAGGAUUGCCAUGAGAAUUGCACCCUAUCUCAUGAAUUCUUGACGCAGUGAUACUUCUUACCAUCAUUUUUCAUUCCUCGGUCCUGUGUUGUCGCAACCGGAAUGCCGGCAAGUGAACCAUGAUGCGUGAAAUCAAUACUCCUAGCAACUAGUUGCUAGGUAGCUAAUGGACAAUAAUUUCUUUCUUAGCGUGUUGGUUAUUGAAUCGUCAUCCUAAGAUUGAUCGUGCUACCUAGUCCAUUUUUUCUGGUGCACUCUUUGAUCAACGAGUUAGGAUUUUGCCAAAUCCUUGCUUAUUUGAUCAUAUCGUCUUGCCUUGAAAAGCAAGAUUGUUCUCGAGCUCAAUAGCAUAUCGGUGGUUCGUGAUUUACCGAUUAUCUUCUCGGAAGUAUCACCAGGUUGUCCCCUGACUGUUAUGUUGAGUUCGUGAUCAAGUUGGUUUUCCAUUAAACCACCCUUUCUCCAAGAAUCUGUGCUGGUUAUCCCUGAGCUAGUUGGUUGAGCUAGACAAUAACUUGGAGAAUUGGAAGAUAAAAGCUUGUCUGACUUAGUUCAUGUUAAGGGAUAUCUUCUGUGUGUGUGUGUUGAAGAAAGAUGAUAUCUCCAUCAAUUGGUCCUCGUGAUCAGUUGUUGGAUCUAUUGCCUUGUCAAAAUUUUGACUAGAGUAUGGGCUAUCAUCAAGUCAAAUCAGAAUCAACGAUGUUUGUAAUGUUGUCUUACCCGUGGUUGAUCCCUCGAGCAUACACCAUUACCUCUUUUGGUCUGACCAAUACUAUCCUCGUGUUCACAUGAUGGUGGAAGUCCAGUGAUAUGGAAAUUCCAAUGAGUUGUUGUUGAGCCCAUCAAUAGCAUUUUGUCUCCCCCAUGAUUCAUGUUGAACAUCAACCUAGUGUUGAAAACUUGUAAGCAAUGCCUUCGUGUCCCGUUCAUGAAGCAUAUGUUGGAUGGAAGAAGUGACUUCCUCGAAUUCAUGUGCACUUGGUGCAAGUUGCCGCCGUGAAUUCGAGAAAGUCAGUGUUGCCUCCUCUGGAAUCAUCCCAAAUCAGUCAUGCAUAAGUGCGAAGUAUUCUAUGGUUUGGUAGAUUAAUUACCUCCACUCCAUAUGUAUUCCCUAGCACACCAAGCCACUAACUGAUUUGUUCAAGGAGAAGAAGUUCCUUCAUAAGAGCUAAUCAUAUGACUUAUGCAAGGACUUCGUUAUCCACGAUGAUGGUUCCCCACCUGAACUCGGUAGUGUUUUUAUUAUAAGACUACUAUGUGGUCAUGCUUGUCUGGGACAGCAUGUUCACAUGUGUUUAGCAGAACCAGCUCAUGUUUUCGAGCUUACUAUCGUAGUUCAUUCCCCGAGAAUCUCGCAACGCCAUCUUGUCGAUUUGUGUUGCAAACUUUCAUUUUCUUCUAGACUCGAUGGGUCUGGAAUAUCCUGUGACGAACCAGAUCUGAAUCCCAGGCAGAUAUGAUGGUUGGAACUUUUCCAAGAUCUAUGAUGUAGGUCCCCGACAAGGUUGAUGUUCUGGCCGACACACCUAGCCAGAAGAUCUACCAUUGUAGUAUCUUGAUUGAGCUAUUUGACCAUCUUCUCCAUGAGGAUUUAGUGUGACCUAUUCUUGAAGUUGUUCCUUAGGGAUCCUUGUGCUCUCAGUUUCUUCGAUGAUUCUAUAACCAUUGGAACGUUGGAAACACUCUCGACUGUUGAGUUCUUCCCCAGUUACCAGAAUCAUUCCCAACAUUUGCAUUUUGUUCCCAGCUUGCACCCUAGUAGUUGUUGUUUAGGAUCAUCUUCAAAAGUGGACUUACCAUGGGUCCCAUCCAUUUCCGAUGAUAAGCUAAAAAUCAUCCAUUGUGUUGUCUUCAACAAGGUAGUCCACAUCAUCCAUCCAAGUCGGAGUAUGCCAUUCUUUCGAACCCCUUCCAACGAUCGAUUGUGAUUACCUCAGGCUGGCAUAAAGAGUUUCAAUGAUCUUUGUAUCAAAAGUAAUUCUUUUUGCCACUUAAGGGAAAUGCUCUACGAGUCACUUUUUCCUAAGGUGUCCAGUUAUGGAAUCAUGGCAAUUACCUCCUUGCUACUUUGAAACCAUGCACCAUCCUACUCUAGCGUGAAACUGUUGCCUACCAAUUUGAACCCUUGUCAUCUAUUACCCUUCAUCUCUCUCGAUGUGUGUUUUGUGUCUCAGCUCAAGAGAUGUUCCAAUGUCUCACUCCAUGAGUUGAUCUUAAGCUGCUCGAUCUUUGAGAAGAUCAUUUCCUGCAGAGUUUCCUUCCCUCUUCAUCGUGUUGGAUGAAGAUCUCGAAGACAAAGACGUCAAGAGCAAUGUGAUGCAAUAUAUCGGUAUCUUCGAGAAGGGCAGUUCAAUCGAGAAGACUGUGAUAGUUUUGUGACCCCUCUGUCUUCUUACUCCACUUCCUGAAUCUCGGGACGAGAUUCUUGUUUAGUAGGGGUGAGCUGUCAUAUCCCUAGCUUAUGGUAUUGCCUGCUGUUUUGCAUCUUGUUGCAUCAUGUUUAAAUUCUAUUUAAGUUGGAAUAGGGAUUGACCAAACCCUAGCAUCAGAAAGAAUUCAACUAGGUUCAAAUAAAAUAUUUUCAAUCAACCCAAAAUGCCUUCCCAAAAAUGUUCAUCAUCUUUGGAUUGGUCUAGAACCUCUGCCAAGAAUGGUGCACAUUUUUCUAG